rnacentral:rRNA from 1 species
GUCGAGCGGUAGCACAGGGGAGCUUGCUCCCUGGGUGACGAGCGGCGGACGGGUGAGUAAUGUCUGGGAAACUGCCUGAUGGAGGGGGAUAACUACUGGAAACGGUAGCUAAUACCGCAUAACGUCGCAAGACCAAAGAGGGGGACCUUCGGGCCUCUUGCCAUCAGAUGUGCCCAGAUGAGAUUAGCUAGUAGGUGGGGUAAUGGCUCACCUAGGCGACGAUCCCUAGCUGGUCUGAGAGGAUGACCAGCCACACUGGAACUGAGACACGGUCCAGACUCCUACGGGAGGCAGCAGUGGGGAAUAUUGCACAAUGGGCGCAAGCCUGAUGCAGCCAUGCCGCGUGUGUGAAGAAGGCCUUCGGGUUGUAAAGCACUUUCAGCGAGGAGGAAGGUGGUGAGCUUAAUACGCUCAUCAAUUGACGUUACUCGCAGAAGAAGCACCGGCUAACUCCGUGCCAGCAGCCGCGGUAAUACGGAGGGUGCAAGCGUUAAUCGGAAUUACUGGGCGUAAAGCGCACGCAGGCGGUUUGUUAAGUCAGAUGUGAAAUCCCCGGGCUCAACCUGGGAACUGCAUUUGAAACUGGCAAGCUAGAGUCUCGUAGAGGGGGGUAGAAUUCCAGGUGUAGCGGUGAAAUGCGUAGAGAUCUGGAGGAAUACCGGUGGCGAAGGCGG